rnacentral:rRNA from 1 species
GUAGGUGGCAAGCGUUGUCCGGAAUUAUUGGGCGUAAAGCGCGCGCAGGCGGUUCUUUAAGUCUGAUGUGAAAGCCCACGGCUCAACCGUGGAGGGUCAUUGGAAACUGGAGAACUUGAGUACAGAAGAGGAAAGCGGAAUUCCACGUGUAGCGGUGAAAUGCGUAGAGAUGUGGAGGAACACCAGUGGCGAAGGCGGCUUUCUGGUCUGUAACUGACGCUGAGGCGCGAAGGCGUGGGGAGCAAACAGGGAUUAGAUACCCUGGUAGUCCACGCCGUAAACGAUGAGUGCUAAGUGUUAGGGGGUUUCCGCCCCCUUAGUGCUGCAGCUAACGCAUUAAGCACUCCGCCUGGGGAUACGGCCGCAAGGCUG